GAAAAAGCCGUUAACGAGUAUUUGUAUGACCAGGGUGCUAGGACAGCCUCUGCGGAGCUGGGAAUUUUUUUGCCACGUUACUGGACACUCAUGCGCAAUGCCUGUAGGCUCAUGCGUCCUUUUGAGGAGGUGACAUACCUAGACAGUCGCACCGAAGGCACCAUCAGCGACAUCAUACCAUUUGUUUUCUUCCUGGUGCGUGCCCUGCGAAGAGUGCUGGAUCAGGCCAUAGAUGAGCGUGAAGAGGAAGAGUUGUGGUCACCAUCACCACCAGAAACAG